AUUUUUUUGUUGUAUUUGUAGGCUUUUGAGGAAGCUGAGCUUCCCAGGCUGAAGGAGGAAAAACCUGGUCUCACUCACACACAAUACAAAGACAUGAUAUGGAAGCUGUGGAAGAAAUCGCCUGACAAUCCCCUCAAUCAGGUUGCUGAGUGAUGACAACUACAUAUUCUCUGUAAGAUAGCGGAUGGACUUUUCUUUUGAAUUGUUUUUAAGGAUUGAUCCCACUCUCAUGUGGCCAACUUUUAUGGCUUAACCAAAUGUGUGGCAUCUGUCCUACUGUAUGUGCUUUGUCCACUCAAUAAAAUUUGAAUUACAAUAA